CGGUACGUACUGGCAUUGUUGGUUUCUCCCUUCUGACGAACCAUGAUGUCAUUUAUUUGGUGUUGUGGGGAAUCAGGACUGUUACUUUGAAAAAAUUAGAGUGUUUAAAGCAGGCUCACGCUUGAAUACAUUAGCAUGGAAUAAUGAAAUAGGACGUUUGAUUCUAUUUUGUUGGUUUCUAGGAUCGACGUAAUGAUUAAUAGGGAUAGUUGGGGGCAUUAGUAUUCAAUUGUCAGAGGUGAAAUUCUUGGAUUUAUUGAAGACUAACUACUGCGAAAGCAUUUGCCAAGGAUGUUUUCAUUAAUCAAGAACGAAAGUUAGGGGAUCGAAGACGAUCAGAUACCGUCGUAGUCUUAACCAUAAACUAUGCCGACUAGGGAUCGGAUGAUGUUAAUUUUUUAAUGACUCAUUUGGCGCCUUACG
rnacentral:rRNA from 1 species